rnacentral:rRNA from 1 species
GAUGAACGCUAGCUACAGGCUUAACACAUGCAAGUCGAGGGGAAACGACAUCGAAAGCUUGCUUUUGAUGGGCGUCGACCGGCGCACGGGUGAGUAACGCGUAUCCAACCUGCCCAUCACUUGGGAAUAACCUUGCGAAAGUAAGACUAAUACCCAAUGAUAUCCCACGAAGGCAUCGGAAUGGGAUUAAAGAUUUAUCGGUGAUGGAUGGGGAUGCGUCUGAUUAGCUUGUUGGCGGGGUAACGGCCCACCAAGGCAACGAUCAGUAGGGGUUCUGAGAGGAAGGUCCCCCACAUUGGAACGGAGACACGGUCCAAACUCCUACGGGAGGGAGCAGUGAGGAAUAGUGGUCAAUGGGCGAGAGCCUGAACCAGCCAAGUAGCGUGCAGGAAGACGGCCCUAUGGGUUGUAAACUGCUUUUAGAAGGGAAUAAAGUGGGUCACGUGUGACUUUUUGCAUGUACCUUAUGAAUAAGGACCGGCUAAUUCCGUG